GAUGAACGCUGGCGGCGUGCCUAAUACAUGCAAGUCGAACGCUUCACUUCGGUGAAGAGUGGCGAACGGGUGAGUAAUACAUAAGUAACCUGGCAUCUGCAGGGGGAUAACUGAUGGAAACGUCAGCUAAGACCGUAUAGGUGUAGAGAUCGCAUGAACUCUAUAUGAAAAGUGCUACGGGACUGGUAGAUGAUGGACUUAUGGCGCAUUAGCUUGUUGGUAGGGUAACGGCCUACCAAGGCGACGAUGCGUAGCCGACCUGAGAGGGUGACCGGCCACACUGGGACUGAGACACGGCCCAGACUCCUACGGGAGGCAGCAGUAGGGAAUUUUCGGCAAUGGGGGAAACCCUGACCGAGCAACGCCGCGUGAAGGAAGAAGUAAUUCGUUAUGUAAACUUCUGUCAUAGAGGAAGAACGGUGGAUAUAGGGAAUGAUAUCCAAGUGACGGUACUCUAUAAGAAAGCCACGGCUAACUACGUG
rnacentral:rRNA from 1 species